rnacentral:rRNA from 1 species
AUUGAACGCUGGCGGCAUGCUUUACACAUGCAAGUCGGACGGCAGCACAGAGAAGCUUGCUUCUUGGGUGGCGAGUGGCGAACGGGUGAGUAACAUAUCGGAACGUACCGAGCAGUGGGGGAUAACUAAUCGAAAGAUUAGCUAAUACCGCAUAUAUUCUGAGGAAGAAAGCAGGGGACCAUUUAGCCUUGCGCUGUUUGAGCGGCCGAUAUCUGAUUAGCUAGUUGGUGGGGUAAAGGCCUACCAAGGCGACGAUCAGUAGCGGGUCUGAGAGGAUGAUCCGCCACACUGGGACUGAGACACGGCCCAGACUCCUACGGGAGGCAGCAGUGGGGAAUUUUGGACAAUGGGCGCAAGCCUGAUCCAGCCAUGCCGCGUGUCUGAAGAAGGCCUUCGGGUUGUAAAGGACUUUUGUCAGGGAAGAAAAGGGCGGGGUUAAUACCCCUGUCUGAUGACGUACCUGAAGAAUAAGCCC